AUAUUUGGUGCUCUACUCUCCUAGGGAACUGGAAGGAACCUGCUCUCUCCUGGGUAUACUUUUCUAAUUUUAGAGUGCUAAAGAAGCUCUUCUCACAGGGACCCGAGUGAAUCCUUUCUCCUUGGAACAAAGGACAAGAAAAAAAGAAAGGACUUUACCGCAGAAAUGAUGAAGAUCAUGUCUCCAAGUCUUUUCUGCCGUUGCCAGUAUUCUCUCCCAAUCUCCUGUGGGCAACUUCUUCGGGAAAACACUCAUGCAAUUUCAUAAGGACAAGCGAAAAUAUGAAGAAGCUGGAUCUUGGAACUAGGCUUUGAUCACAGAGCGGAGCUGAGAUGAAAGUCCAUCCACUCAUUCAACAAAUAAUUGAGUACUUACAAAAAUUUCUGCUGUAUGGAGCUUAUAUAGUAAUGCCACAUUUUGUUGGAACUCAGAGUUAUGAGUGGCCCUCGCCAUACCUACACUUUCUGACUGAGCUCCUCUCUACCCUGAAUACAAGAGACCCUAAUAGGCAGGAAUAUCAUCACCCCUCUUCAGCCUGAAGAUGUUACAGAAGAUGGAUAUUUGUCCGUUUACAACCCUUAAGAUUAAGGGUUCCCCUGUAAAAGGGAGGGGGAAAAUAUGUCAGAGAUGUUUGAACCAGAGCAACUUCGUCCUGAAUAGUGGCUCGGUAAAGUGAGGCUGACACCUAUGGACUGCAUUCCCAGGAGGUUAGGCAUUCUUAGUUACGGGAUGAAAUAGGAGUUUGGCACAAGAUGGGUCAUAAAGACCUUGCUGAUAAAAGGAUGUGGUACAGAAGCUGGCCAAAACUCACCAAAAUCAAGAUGUGAUGAAAGUGACUUCUGGUAGUCCUCACUCCUCAUUACACUAAUUAUAAUGCAUUAGCAUGCUAAAAGACACGUUCACCAGCACCAUUAUGGUUUACAAAUGCCAUGGCAAUAUCAGCAAGUUACCCUAUAUGGUCUUAAAAGGGGAGGAACCCUCAGUUCUGGGAAUUGCCCACCACUUUCCCAGGAAACUCAUGAAUAAUCCACCCUUUAUUUAGCAAAUAAUCAAGAAAUAACUAUAAGUAUAAUCAGUUGAGCAGCCCAUGCCACUGCUCUGCCUGUGGAAUAGCCACUCUUUUAUUCCUUUACUUUUUUAAUAAACUUGUUUUCACUUUAC
rnacentral:lncRNA from 1 species